rnacentral:rRNA from 1 species
UUUGAACGCUGGCGGCGUGCCUAAUACAUGCAAGUCGAGCGGACGGACGAGGAUCUUUCUUCUCUUAUGUGAGGGGCGGACGGGUAAUGCCUAGGUGUCUACCUUGCCGUGGGGGCUGGCGUAAGGUCACGGGCGCUAAUAUAGCAUCGGUUAUGAUUGUGAAAGGGGGGGUUCAAAGGUGAACACGGUACUAGCUGUGACUAGGAGGCAUUAGCUAGCUGGUGAGGUAAAGGCGUACCAAGGCGACGUUCCAUAACCGGUCUGAGAGGGUGAUCGGCCACACUGGAACUGAGACACGGUCCAGACUCCUACGGGAGGCAGCAGUAGGGAAUAUUCCGCAAUGGGCGAAAGCCUGACGCAGCCACGCCGCGUGAGUGAUGAAGGUCUUCGGAUCGUAAAACACUGUUAUUAGGGAAGAACAUAUGUGAAAGUAUAUGUGCCUAUCUUGACGGUACCAACUCAGAAAGCAACGGCUAACUACGUG